GGGCGGUUGGCUCAGGGGUAGAGCGUUUCCUUGACACGGAAGAGGUCACAGGUUCAAAUCCUGUACCGCCCACCA
rnacentral:tRNA from 1 species